rnacentral:rRNA from 1 species
GACGAACGCUGGCGGCGUGCCUAAUACAUGCAAGUUGAGCGAUUAAGGGUGGUGCUUGCCUCAAUUUGAAGAGCGGCGAACGGGUGAGUCAUGCGUGGGGAAUCUGCCUUUGAGCGGGGGACAACAUUAGGAAACGAAUGCUAAUACCGCAUAACAACUUUAAACAUAAGUUUUAAGUUUGAAAGAUGCAAUUGCAUCACUCAAAGAUGAUUCCGCGUUGUAUUAGCUAGUUGGGGAGGUAAAGGCCCACCAAGGCGAGGAUACAUAGCAGACCUGAGAGGGUGAUCGGCCACAUUGGGACUGAGACACGGCCCAGACUCCUACGGGAGGCAGCAGUAGGGAAUCUUGGGCAAUGGACGAAAGUCUGACCGAGCAACGCCGCGUGAGUGAAGAAGGUCUUCGGAUCGUAAAACUCUUUUAGUAGGGAGGAACGGUAGUGAGAUUGUAAAUCGCUGUUAUUACCUUAAACAACCAAUAAAGGGACGCUAAACUACUG